rnacentral:tRNA from 1 species
AGUCAAUGAACUUGUUUAAGUAUAUAUUUUGAAAAUAUAAAAAAAGAUUAAUUUAUCUUAUUGACUU